rnacentral:rRNA from 1 species
UACAGAGGUCUCAAGCGUUGUUCGGAUUCAUUGGGCGUAAAGGGUGCGUAGGCGGCGCGGUAAGUCGGGUGUGAAAUCUUGGAGCUUAACUCCGAAACUGCAUUCGAUACUGCCGUGCUUGAGGACUGGAGAGGAGACUGGAAUUUACGGUGUAGCGGUGAAAUGCGUAGAUAUCGUAAGGAAGACCAGGUGGCGAAGGCGGGUCUCUGGACAGUUCCUGACGUGAGGCACGAAGGCAGGGGAGCAAACGGGAUUAGAACCGGUAC